rnacentral:misc_RNA from 1 species
UUGCAAAAUGGAGAAAGCCAAAUAUUUAUUUCAAAAAAUCAAAAGAAAGGAUAGAGUUACAGACAUCAUAAACAAAGUCUUUGAGGUGAAAGACUUUAAUAGAUAUAAAGGCCAGUCUGUACUGAAUUUUGGUGCAGGAAGUCAGUUUAGUUUUUACGAGAAAAUUAAAAACAGACUGGGUCAUUUGGCCUUGCAAUCCACCUUUUUCCUUCAUGAUGAAGUUCAUCAUUGGCAGUUGGAGGAUUUUGCAAACUUUCUG